GACGGACCGGACAAACGUUAUUCGGAAUUACUGGGCUUAAAGAGUGCGUAGGCGGCCUGGAGGGUGAGGUGUGAAAUCCCACGGCUCAACCGUGGAAUGGCGCUUCAAACCGCCAGGCUCGAGGGAGGUAGGGGUGAGCGGAACUGAUGGUGGAGCGGUGAAAUGCGUUGAUAUCAUCAGGAACACCAGUGGCGAAGGCGGCUCACUGGACCUUUUCUGACGCUGAGGCACGAAAGCCAGGGGAGCGAACGGG
rnacentral:rRNA from 1 species